rnacentral:misc_RNA from 1 species
GAUGAAGAACGUAGCGAAAUGCGAUAAGUAGUGUGAAUUGCAGAAUUCAGUGAAUCAUCGAAUCUUUGAACGCACAUUGCGCCCCUUGGUAUUCCAUGGGGCAUGCCUGUUCGAGCGUCAUUUGUACCUUCAAGCUUUGCUUGGUGUUGGUGUUUGUCCCGAGGGACUCGCCUUAAAGUAAUUGGCAGCCAGUGUUUGGUUUUGAAGCGCAGCACAAGUCGCGAUUCAAGGCUACACGCCCGCUUCCACAAGCCUUUUUUCACUUUUGACCUCGGAUCAGGUAGGGAUACCCGCUGAACUUAAGCAUAUCAAUAAGCGGAGGA